AGCAGCCGCGGUAAUUCCAGCUCCAAUAGCGUAUAUUAAAGUUGUUGCAGUUAAAAAGCUCGUAGUUGAAUUUCGGGGUCAGUAGGUCGGUCGUGCCACUGGUAUGAACUGGUUUUACUGAUUCCUCCCUCUUGAAGAACUGUAAUGCCAUUAAUUUGGUGUUGCAGGGAGUCAGGACUGUUACUUUGAAAAAAGUUAGAGUGUUUAAAGCAGGCUUUAGCUUGAAUACAUUAGCAUGGAAUAAUGAAAUAGGACGUUUGAUCCUAUUUUGUUGGUUUCUAGGAUUGACGUAAUGAUUAAUAGGGAUAGUUGGGGGGCAUUAGGUAUUCAAUUGUCAGAGGUGAAAUUCUUGGAUUUAUUGAAGACUAACUACUGCGAAAGCAUUUGCCAAGGAUGUUUUCAUUAAUCAAGAACGAAAGUUAGGGGAUCGAGGACGAUCAGAUACCGUCGUAGUCUUAACCAUAAACUAUGCCGACUAGGGAUCGGAUGAUGUUAAUUUUUUUCAAUGACUCAUUCGGCG
rnacentral:rRNA from 1 species